rnacentral:sRNA from 1 species
CUAGGCGGACAUGGUGUAAGCUGCAGUUUGGGGCAAUUGGAGAUUUCCAAUUCACAAAGGUUAGGAAACAUAAACUCGCUCACACUAUCCUCAUCGCAAGAGUACAUUGUGUUCCACACUUCUAGGCUUGGCAUGCCUUCUAUGGUAAACUUCUUCAGUCGAGGAAAUGGCCCUGGGCCGCCACAAAAAUCCUCAUCGAUUUUCACCACGCUCUUCAUUCUUUCAAGACACAACUCUUCCAGAUUAGGUAAUUGGCCAAGUGGUGGUAGCCUGACGCACUUGGGCAUUUGUGCCAUGGUAAUUUGAAUAAGAUUAGGGAGAUAAAGGGAAAUGUCCAUUAACCAGGAUGGAUAUUUGGUGUCUUUAUAACCUUCCAUCCGAAACUUCUUUAGAGAUCUUGGAGGAACUAGCUCACGCAACAAAUCUAUGUCCUCCAUAGACCUCUUAACAUGUUGAGUCCAAUGCAAUUCCAACUCUUUGAUUCUUUGCUUUUCAAUCAGUUCUAUCUUCUGGACCUCUUUGACCGACCUCACAUUUUCAAGACAUCUUAUCUGCAAGUUAGGAGGAUUCACAUCAUUAAGCAGAACAAGGUUGCUAGAAGAUCCAUCAUCAUUAGGUUGCACCACAAAGCGUGGUAAUGUGAGUAAAUUUUUGUUCCAUUGUGGCACCUUGGACAGGUCACUACCAUUCAGAUUAACAAACUUCAGGCUGUCAGCUUUACCUAUACUUGCUGGUAAACUACUCAAAAGUGGGCAAUCCGAGAGGUCAAGUGUAUGUAGCUUUUUGAGUGUAUCAAAACAGUCAGGUAAGACGACGCCAUUAAGAUAUAUGUUCUUCGACAAGACCAAAUGCUCUAGGUUGUUCAGACAACCGAGGAAACUGAUAUCUAUUGAAGAACCCAAGUAAUUCAGCGAGCCUGACAAGUUCAAAUACUUGAGAUUGAUUAAGCUGUUCAAACCUUGAGCUAGCCUUUCCGUAUAAAAGUGUUCUGUAGACAGAUUCAAGUAUUCAAGUUUGGUGAGGGUACCCAAAACUUCUGUUUCUAACCUCCCUUUCAUAUAGGAGCAACUUGAUAAGUUCAAAUAUACCAGUUUCGAGAGGUUACCCAUAACUUCAGGUAGUUGUCCAAUAUUCCGGCAGUAUGAUAAAUUCAAAUAUUUGAGAUUGAUGAGACUCUCCAAGGAUUCUGAUACACCAGUAACAUUAGAACAAUUUGAUAAAUCCAGAUGAAUCAAUUUUUUUAGUUUGCCAAAUGACUCUGGCAGUUCUUUCAAUCCAGAACAACCUGACAAGUCAAUGUACAUCAGACUCUCCAUUUCUCCAAUUGACUUUGGCAGUGUCAAGAUUGCCGAAGACCCAGAAAUGCUGAGGAAAAUUAAUUUUGAGAGCUUAGUUAUACAAUUAGGGAUCAUUUUAUCCUUGAUCCCAAGAGCUUUAAGAUAUCUCAAUUGCUUCAAGUGACCAAUGGAAUCUGGCAACUUCUGUAUGGAGCACCCGCUUAAAUCCAAGACGCGCAUGUAUUUAGCAGAUGAAAAAGAAGCAUCUCGGAGCACAUUUUCUUCAUUUUCCAGAUAACGCACCGCCCUUACCUGGGUAGGAGAAUGAGUGAGUGAAUUCAAUGGCUUGGUACAAUCAUUGAGCAGCGCAAAGCGGCAUCUGCACCUCCCAGUAAUAUUGCCUUGUUUGCUAGCAUCUAAAAUUUCGUCGACCAUGACAUAUCUUGCUAAGUCAUGCACCAGGUCAUGCAUGGUCAGCAAUGUAACAUCCUCUUGAUGCACUUGAACAAUCUGCAACAGAAGAACUUGUCAGAAUC